GCAGGAUUUGGGGAAUGCACACACACAGGCUCAGUGUAUUUCUCAAGGUACCAGGACUAGGACUCAAACUGUGCAGUCAGUCACAUGGGAUCCAGACAUUUUAACCACCAUGCAAUGACUUCGCCUGUGUUUUGUGAUUUAAUUAUAGAAAGAUGUGUCAGUUCUGCAGCCUAAAAAUAUUUACUUAUUAAAACUAUACCAGUACUUUAAUCAACUAUAUGAAAAAGAUAAUGAGACAGACAUGUGCAUUUAUAGAACUGCGUAUCAGUCAGGCCAGAUCCCUGCGGAGGGAAUUCCUGCAUAACCUCGCUCAUCUGUGAGGACACAGAGCAGUCCUUGUUCGGACGGGCACACUCAUCUAACUUGUCUGGCGUGGUUCUUCAGUGACAAAAUUUACAUCUAACUGAUUUAAUCAAAUCAACUACUCAAUCUACUUGUUAACCUAGACUUUUUCUUUUUCAUGACUUGUUUUUGUUUUUGUUUAAGAUUACAUUUGGGAAUUUAAGUAUCUUUUCGUUCAGCGCAACUGCAUACUAGAGAGCUUAGAGCUGCAUACCACGCCGUGGUCGUCCUGCGAGUGCCUGUUCGAUGAUGAUACUAGGGCAGUUUCCUUCAAAGAACAUUUUCAGAAAAGUGUAUCCUCCCCUGUGAAGAUUUCAGACUUAGCAACCCACCUGAAGGAUAAGUGUUCAGUCCGCCCGUCCCCAGCCCGUCCAGGCAACCCUCACCUCGUUCCCGUGGUUUUCUGUGGACGGAGCCGUGCCCGUGUGCUGUCCGGCUGACAUUUUGCACUUAGCUCUGUGAGGAGCGCGCAGUCUCGCCCUCUCACCUUUCGUGUGGACGCGCCUUUCCCUCCCGUCCUCACCACAGCCCAGGUGUGGGACUCACCAGGAGCCUCAAGCAGGCCCUCCACCUGGCGCCCCUCAGCUCGGGCCCUGCCUCCUGCUCGCACUCGGACACAGAGCCACUCCUGCCACAGGCCAGGAGGGCCAGGCGUCCUCCCUCACUUCUCUCGGCCUGGCCGUGUCUAGGCAGGUGCCCCUCCCUGCCCACAUGCGGUUACAGGCCCCCGUAAGCCUUCGGAUUUGAUCUCUGCUUUCAGGAGCAAGCACACAGGGCGGACGGGGCACCCAGGCACUCCGCGGCUGACUCGCAGGGAGGGUCCUGGGUUUCCUUUUUGUUGAGAAAGAGAGACAAAAAGAGAGAGAAGAAAGAAAACCCUGAACAACAGGGCUCAGACAGUGCCCUGGUGGGUUCAGACAGUGCUGCUGCGCCUGGAGAGGGCGUGGGGUGCCCCCGCCGCUCUGCCCCAGGAGGGAGUGCCCUGCAGGAGGGACUCGGCUUCCUGGAGGGAUUCCGGUGCGCAGGCAGGAUGGGUUCAUCUGUCCAGCCGAGUCGGCCAGGCAGGUGGCCCCUCGACUCUCAGUAAACGAAGCUGUGAGUGAGCGGGACCGUCCA